rnacentral:rRNA from 1 species
GUGAUUCACGAUUCUGCAAUUCACACUACUAUCGCAUUCGUGCUUUUAUCAUGCAGACACCAAGUCCGCUGUAAAAGUGUAAUUUAUAUUUUCAGACGCGACCGCAACUGCAACUGCUUAUAAUUGUCUACGGCUGGCGGACCGCCGGGAACUUAAGUACGCACAGACUUGGGUAGAGCUGGUAGACAGAUGCCUACAACUCUCGGUAUGAUUCUUCCGUAAGGGUACCUGCGGAAGGAUCAUUACCGAGAGUUGUAGGCUUCUGUCUACCAUCUCUUACCCAUGUCUUUUGCGUACUUAACGUUUCCUCGGCAGGUCCGCCUGCCGUAGGACAAUUAUAAACCAUUUGCAGUUGCAGUCAGCGUCUGAAAAAUAUAAUAAUUACAACUUUUAACAACGGAUCUCUUGGUUCUGGCAUCGAUGAAGAACGCAGCGAAAUGCGAUAAGUAGUGUGAAUUGCAGAAUUCAGUGAAUCAUCGAAUCUUUGAACGCACAUUGCGCCCCUUGGUAUUCCAUGGGGCAUGCCUGUUCGAGCGUCAUUUGUACCUUCAAGCUCUGCUUGGUGUUGGGUGUUUGUCCCGCCUUUGUGCGCGGACUCGCCUUAAAGCAAUUGGCAGCCGGCGUAUAGAUUUCGGAGCGCAGCACAAUCCGCGCUUUGUACUCAUUACGACGACAUCCAUCAAGACAUUUUUUAACUCUUGACCUCGGAUCAGGUAGGGAUACCCGCUGAACUUAAGCAUAUC